GGUUAAGCGACUAAGCGUACACGGUGGAUGCCCUGGCAGUCAGAGGCGAUGAAGGACGUGCUAAUCUGCGAUAAGCGUCGGUAAGGUGAUAUGAACCGUUAUAACCGGCGAUUUCCGAAUGGGGAAACCCAGUGUGUUUCGACACACUAUCAUUACGUGAAUACAUAGCGUAAUGAAGCGAACCGGGGGAACUGAAACAUCUAAGUACCCCGAGGAAAAGAAAUCAACCGAGAUUCCCCCAGUAGCGGCGAGCGAACGGGGAGCAGCCCAGAGUCUGAAUCAGCAUGUGUGUUAGUGGAAGCGUCUGGAAAGUCGCACGAUACAGGGUGAAAGUCCCGUACACAAAAGUGCAUGUGUUGUGAACUCGAAGAGUAGGGCGGGACACGUGGUAUCCUGUCUGAAUAUGGGGGGACCAUCCUCCAAGGCUAAAUACUCCUGACUGACCGAUAGUGAACCAGUACCGUGAGGGAAAGGCGAAAAGAACCCCGGCGAGGGGAGUGAAAAAGAACCUGAAACCGUGUACGUACAAGCAGUGGGAGCACCCUUCGGGGUGUGACUGCGUACCUUUUGUAUAAUGGGUCAGCGACUUAUAUUCUGUAGCAAGGUUAACCGAAUAGGGGAGCCGAAGGGAAACCGAGUCUUAA
rnacentral:rRNA from 1 species